rnacentral:tRNA from 1 species
GGCUGGAGAGAUGGCUCAGUGGUUAAGAGCACUGACUGCUCUUCCAGAGGUCCUGACUUCAAUUCUCAGCAACCA